CCAAGCUGUCAAAGUGUGCAUGACUCUUGUCUAUCUUUUUUAGGUGCUUUCAGACAUUCACAUCCUAAUGACAGACAUGGGAAGACUAUAAGACGUCAAGGUGAAAGGCUCCUAGCAGCUCUCAGUGUUCCCAACGAAACUGGCAGAAUGGCAGUGGCUGAUUACAAGCUGCCCUUGGAGAACAAAGAAACCGUGACCAUAUUAGAACCCGAGCAGAGCUGCAAUCCUGCUUUCUGAUGACACCUUACACAACGGCUCUCUAUUAUGGGGGGCCGGUACUAAAGAAGCUUUACUGCGGGCAUCCUACCCACUAUUUUCAGACAGCUUGGGUGGAAACUUAAGCUAAACUUCAAGCCAGCUGCAGAAAAAGAGCUUCAGGGACGUGCAUGUCUACAGUGUCAUGGAAGAUUCUUCAAAGGAUACUGGACCUGCCGCCAGCUGACAUGCCUUUCUUUCUCCUCAGUCCUGUACCUUAGUCCUGUUAAGAUUUGGGGUCAGUUUUUCUAGACAUGCAAUCCAUAAUAUAUGCAGUCUAGUCAAUCAGUGCAAGGCAUUACAUGCCAUUCAUUUCCUAUGUAUAUAUUUAGUCAGAAUCAA